CCAUCAAAAACUCAAGAGUUAAUCAAAGAGAAUCUUAUCUGUUCUCACUGAUUGCAUUGCGACAUGAAGUUCAUCGGCUAUUUAGAUAAUCUCAUAGGUCUUGUGGUGGCUGAAAAUUCAUCUUGCCCUUCAACAAAAUUCAUAGUAAAUUUAUGAUGUAAAUCUUUACUAAGGCUUCGAUUCGAGCAGAGGGAAUCGAAGACAGUAAACAUGUCUUGGAUACCCAGCGUGAGGGGCGAGGAGCAGUCUGAGUUGUGCAACCUCUAAUGACCUUGCCCAUUAAUUGUGUCUCGUGGGACUGACAGUCUCAAUCAGGCCAGUGUAGUGCUAGGAAAGAGGCUAUCGGGGCUGGUGAGGUGCUCAGUUUGGUUGGUAAGUGGGUAUAACACGUGAUCAUCAAGGAGAUAAUGGUGUUCAGAAUUUUAGGAGCACAUCACUGUUAUGAGGAAUAACAAUGAUGAACAGAACAGAACUAGGGAAGUAAUAUAAUAUCAUGACACUGCAUCUCAUAAAAGAAGAGCCCAAGUGGACGGGACUUCAGGAGGAUGCGAAGGGAAGGGGUAUAAUUCUAUUACUAAGUCGCAUAUAACACAGACAAAACCACUUCUCUUUAUUUAUUUAUUUUUUUUAAGGAAGAAUAUUUGUAGAGAGAAUAAUUUUGCCAUCGAAACUACAGAUAACAGAGACUUUGCUCAUGUGGUGAGGGAUGACAGCUACAUCAGAGGAAGCAGGGGUGGAGUGCCCCCAGGAGGACGUGCCAAGAGCCGAGGACAAGCCUGAUGACGCCUCCAGGAGCAGAGUGACAGCUGUAGCACCGUGCCUCUCCAGUGGUCCAGAGGAGGGGGAGAAAAGUGGCGGCUCAAACACGGGAGAGAAAGAGAACGCAGCAGUUUCUGACGAUGCUGGUGGUGGUGGAGUGGACGCAGGGAAGGGUGUGGAGGAGGAGGAGGCACGGUGGUGGUGCUGCCGCAGCUUCAAUGAGCGGCUGCAGGUGUAUGCCUCACACUUCCUCUCCUCGUGGGGCGACCGGAUGUGGAUGUUUGCUGGAGGAAUCUUUUUGCUUGAGGUCACUCCAGGGUCGCUGCGUCUUGCUGCCAUCUACGGAGCAGCACUGGCACUCACAGUCAUUGUCCUGGGGGCUCCUGUUGGCCGCUGGGUGGAUCGCACAUCACGGCUCCGAGCAGCCCAGCUGAGUUUGAGUGUGCAGAACCUGAUGGUGUGUUUGUGUGCUGCACUGCUGGUCCUCAUCACCUCCUAUCCAAACCUCUUCAAAGAAUGGGACGGAUGGGCCCUGGUGGUGGCUGAGGCUGGGGUGAUCCUCACAGCUUGUGUGGCACAGAUUGGUACGCUGGGCUCCAAGCUGGCCAUUGAGAAGGAUUGGAUCCUUGUCAUUUGUGGCCGAGAUAAAACUCAGCUGGCAAGAAUGAACAGUGUGCUGAGAACAGUAGACCUGAGUACUGAGGUGCUGGCUCCAGUCAUCGUGGGUGCAGUGAUGACCUCCUUUGGCCUGAUGGUGGGUGGCAUAGUCAUUGCUUCCUGGAAUGUGGGCUCUCUCCUGGUGGAAUACGGCCUCCUCCACCACCUCUUCUACUCCAAUCCACACCUGCAGAAGUCCAAGGGAGAGGUAAACAAUGAGGGAGGAAGUGGAGAAGGAGAAGAAAACAUAGGGUCUGAAGGAGAUAAAAGUAGCCAAGAGUUACCUGACAUGGAGGCUGAGCGGCAGAGGCGAAGGGAGGGGCAGGGCAUGAGCCAGGCCCUGGAACGCCUUACAGUGGCCUGGAGUGCCUGGAGAGCCUACAUGCACCACCCUGUUAGGAAUGCUGGCCUGGGUCUGGCACUGCUCUUCAUGACUGUCCUCGCCUUUGAUAACUACUCAAGAGCCUUCGUGUAUGACUCUGGAGUGUCAGAGACUGUGCUGGGUCUUCUGACGGCCGUGGCUUCUCUCUUUGGGAUCUUUGGCUCCCUUGCCUUCCCUGUGCUGAGAAAGAAGGUUGGCUUGGUUAAAACAGGCCUGGUGGGCUUUUGCUGUGAGACUCUGUGCCUGACAUUAUGUGUGGCAUCUGUCUUUGCCCCUGGAAGUCCCUUUGAUGCCUCUGCAAUCUUAUAUGGCCCUAUUACUUCUGGCAAGGCUCCUACACUCCCCAACGCCCCAGCCAUCCCUGCUGCUUCACCAGCCACUCCACAGUACGGCUUCAAUGCCUCCUCAGUGCUCAGUGAUUCCCGCAGCUUGGUGGUGGACUUCAACUCAACCUUGGAGGAGCAGCUGCCUCCUGACCUGGACUCUGGUGUGCAGGAGGAGGAAGAGGAGCGGGAUUUCACUUUCGUCAUCCUCUUCAUGACUGGAAUUAUCACGUCUCGUUUUGGACUGUGGCUGGCCGACCUGACAGUAACUCAGAUCCUGCAGGAGGGGGUGGAGGAGGGGCAGCGUGGAGCCAUCAAUGGGGUGCAGUCCUCCCUCAACCAGAGCCUUGACCUGCUGCGUUCUGUCCUGCUCAUCAUCCUGCCACGGAGGGAAACGUUUGGCUUCCUCGUCUUGCUGUCAUUCCUCUUUGUGUCCAUGGCGUUCCUCAUGUUUGCCUCCUAUGUUCGGACCUUCCUGAUUAACAGCACCAAGCCUGCUGCAGUGCCAGAAGGACACCAGCUCAAGCCUGCUGAUGUGUGAAGGGAGGCAGGAUGUGAGUAGUGGAAGUGGCCCUCCCUGCAGCACCUCACCCCAGACUUGCCUGUGUGAGGCUCUGCCAAAUAAGAAAAUAUCCUGGUGAUGUAUCUACUGUGUACCAUGAGAGAGAGAGUGAGAGAGAGAGUACCUUUAUCAUAAGUGCCUAUGGAUGUAAUUUUUUUAUGAGAUAAGUUUUAUGGCAGAAUUAUGUGUUGCAAUAAUCAUUAUGUGAAAAGUUUAAGUAAUCACAAAUGAUAUGUUAGGAUAUGGAGUGAAGGCAUGGAGCAGGAGCCAUGAGUGUUGUGUAGUCCAAUUCUUGGCUUCUAAAUGGUUAAGAAUUGUAUCAAUGCCAUUCCAUAGUGAUAGCAUUCAUUGUGUAAUUACAGAGGGAAGAUAAAUCACACAUACAGUAUAUAUUAUUUCUAACCCAUAAUGUUCAUUGCAUGACAUGAUGCAGAGAGGGAUAUAAACCAGUACUAAGCUAUUACGUAAAACACAUAAUGCUGAAAUAAGACCUAAAAAUGCACUAAUAUAGCUUUACAGGGAAAAAACAAUUGCAUACAUAUACUGUUCCCAAGGCCGAGUGCUCACUGUGGGGCUUCAGACUUGCCUUCACUAACGUGUAUUAUGUACCACUUAAAUCCAAUCAAAGAAAUCUGUACACCACCUGCCCACACCCACACAGGCAUUGGUCUUGCCCCACAUGCAGGUCAGGUACAAGUAAACAGGUGUGAUUGAAAGACAUUGAAUAGCUCAGUGAGAAUAUAAUGUUGUGUCCUGUACCCCUUUUACUGCCAUCAUUGUCCUUUUGUUAAGGAAAAGCAACAUAAGAAAUGUUUGUAUGGCCACACAGAAAAAGGGAGAAUAUAGGUAAAUUUUCUGUUUUAAAGGCUACAGAAUUAGUUAAGAAUUUGUAGUACAUGUAGUUAGUUUUUUCUAAGUUGUUAGUAAUUAUGGAAAAGUCUAACAGUGAAAGGGUUAAGUCACAUAGUAAUUAUUUAAGUCAGUUUAGCAUAAAUUAGUUUAGUUUAUUGUUCCUAUUCCAUGUAUUCCAAAAAUAUUCUGUGCUUGUGAUAUUUAUUGGUUAUUGCACACUAGAAUAGCAUGAUAUGCAUCUGCAACUCCAUUUUUUUUUUUUUUUUUUUUUUUUUUUAUGUAGGAAGGACACUGGCCAAGGGCAACAAAAAUCCAAUAAAAAAAUAUACCCACUGAAAUGCCAGUCCCAUAAAAGGGUCAAAGCAGUGGUCAAAAAGUGUGUGUGUGUGUGUGUGUGUGUGUGUGUGUGUGUGUGUGUCUUCCUGUGGGCCCUGUAUACAGCAGGUUGAAUGACUGUUGGGUGCUGCUGUCAGCAACUCGUGUUGAGGUGGAAUGAGUGAGCUGCUUGUGUGCUGUCAGUGCAGUUUUUGUCGUCACUGCCUAAGAACUGUUGGGUAGAGAGCUUGGUGAGUGUGUGUGUGUGUGUUUGUGAGAGAUAUUGAGAGAGAAAGAGAGAGAGAGAGAGAGAGAGAGAGAGAGAGAGAGAGAGAGAGAGAGAGAGAGAGAGAGAGAGAGAGCAUGUUUGUUAUAGCUAUCAGUUAUAUUUCAUACUCAACAGUAAUUCACAGCAGGAGAAUUAUGUGCAAUACCUGACAUAUGUAAUAUUUUUUUUUGUCAUGUAUAAAAAACAUUAAUCUCAAUAUAUUCACUUCAUAAUUACAUGGAUUAUAAGCAAUACCAGGACUUAAUAAUUUCUGUAUUUAUGUUUUUAUACCACAACAAGGCUGUAAUAGUAGUGCUGUGUGUGCAGUAACUGAGCCAGGGUGUGUUUGAGGAUUCACAAAUGGUGCCUGCCCAUAACAGUGUAAUUUUAAAAGGUUAACUUUUUACUGCUGUAUUUUUACUUUUAUAAGGUGAAAAAUACACUGCUGUAAGUUGUAACGUCACUUUAAUCAGGUAAUGAUAAAUACUGUUAGAAUUGUUAAUGUAAGUCUAGGUAUCCAUUAUCUACCUACCAGGCUGAGGUCUUCGUUAAAGAAAGGAAGCCUGGACAAGGUCACAAGUUGUUUCCAUGCCUCAUUAAUAUCAAUAAGGUGCCAUGUCAGAGCUGUGAUUCCUGUGUGCUGUGCAAUAUUGUAUAAGUGCCAUAACCUCCUGAAGUGCAAGUUGCUCAAGCAGGAAUAUACUUGUUGCUUAUUCCUGCAAUCAAAUAUCUAUUCUUUAUCAGUAGUAUACAAAAAGACAUUUAGGAGUAAAAGAAAAUAAUAUUAUUUUUAGAACUUCCAUGUAUUCUCAUUCAUAUGAUGUAUUGAAAUGUUGCAUUAAUUCAGUGUUAGCAGUGGUGGUAGGGUAACAGUCUGUACCCAGCACACCCCAACUCUGUGCUGAGGGAGGAAACACUCUUAUAGUAUUUCAAAGCAUCACAAUCUUCAUUAUUUGUGUAAUUUAAAAAGAAAAUAUGAACUUAUUUACUGUUUCCCUUCAUCAGGAAGAAGGUAGUAAUAAAAUAAUCUCGAGAGAUAUAGUUCUAAGUAUAUUUUCAUACAUAAUGUUACUAAAAGGGAGAACUACUAUAAAUGCAAGUUGUGGCAGUAGGAGAGAGUAGCCAUUUGUAUUCAUUGAAAUCUUUUUACUGUAACACAUUACUGUAUUCACACUACAGCAGCUCAGAGAGAUAAAUGUAUAUUUUCAAUGUGUCUCUCAUAUAUAACUUGGUACAGUAUCUGCUGGCUGUAUUGCAGCUCUAAUGGUGCUUUGUGAAAAAAUGGUGCAUGUCUUUUUAUCAUUUUUGUAUUACUGUAAAACCAUCACAAAACUAUUUUAAUAAAGAGUAAGAAUUUUAUUUGCAAAAUA